GUGAGUCAUCGAAUCUUUGAACGCACAUUGCGCCCCCUGGUAUUCCGGGGGGCAUGCCUGUUCGAGCGUCAUUACAACCCUCAAGCUCUGCUUGGUAUUGGGCUCUGCCGGUCCCGGCAGGCCUUAAAAUCAGUGGCGGUGCCAUCCGGCUUCAAGCGUAGUAAUUCUUCUCGCUUUGGAGGCCCGGGUGCGUGCUUGCCAGCAACCCCCAAUUUUCUCAGGUUGACCUCGGAUCAGGUAGGGAUACCCGCUGAACUUAAGCAUAUCAAUAAGCGGAGGA
rnacentral:misc_RNA from 1 species